AGUGAACGCUGGCGGCAGGCCUAACACAUGCAAGUCGAGCGGCAGCGCGUCCGACCACCCUCGGGUGGUCGGAUGGCGGCGAGCGGCGGACGGGUGAGGAAUGCAUCGGAAUCUGCCUCGUUGUGGGGGAUAACGUAGGGAAACUUACGCUAAUACCGCAUACGACCUACGGGUGAAAGUGGGGGACCUUCGGGCCUCACGCGAUGAGAUGAGCCGAUGCCGGAUUAGCUAGUUGGCGGGGUAAAGGCCCACCAAGGCGACGAUCCGUAGCUGGUCUGAGAGGAUGAUCAGCCACACUGGAACUGAGACACGGUCCAGACUCCUACGGGAGGCAGCAGUGGGGAAUAUUGGGCAAUGGGGGCAACCCUGAUCCAGCCAUGCCGCGUGUGUGAAGAAGGCCUCGGUUGUAAG
rnacentral:rRNA from 1 species